rfam:Nasonia vitripennis chromosome 5, whole genome shotgun sequence.
UGCCUCUUCAAUUCCGUAGUGCAUUGCAGUAGAUUUAAAAGAAAGAUUCUGCAAGCACCGCGGGAGUGAGGCGGCUUC